AGCUGCAGAAGAAGCACCGGCUAACUCCGUGCCAGCAGCCGCGGUAAUACGGAGGGUGCGAGCGUUAAUCGGAAUUACUGGGCGUAAAGCGCAUGCAGGUGGUUUGUUUAAGUCAGAUGUGAAAGACCCGGGGCGUCAACCUACGGAAUAGACAUUUAGUAAACUAGGCAGACUAGAGUACUGUAGGAGGGGGGUAGGUAAUUUCAGGUGUAGCGGUAGAAAUGCGUAGAGAUCUGAAGGAAUACCGGUGGCGAAGGCGGCCCCCUGGACAGAUACUGACACUCAGAUGCGAAAGCGUGGGGAGCAAACAGGAUUAGAUACCCCUGGUAG
rnacentral:rRNA from 1 species